CGAACGGGUGAGUAACACGUGGGCAAUCUGCCCUCCACUCUGGGACAAGCCCUGGAAACGGGGUCUAAUACCGGAUACAACCACUACAGGCAUCUGUUGGUGGUGGAAAGCUCCGGCGGUGGAGGAUGAGCCCGCGGCCUAUCAGCUUGUUGGUGAGGUAACGGCUCACCAAGGCGACGACGGGUAGCCGGCCUGAGAGGGCGACCGGCCACACUGGGACUGAGACACGGCCCAGACUCCUACGGGAGGCAGCAGUGGGGAAUAUUGCACAAUGGGCGAAAGCCUGAUGCAGCGACGCCGCGUGAGGGAUGACGGCCUUCGGGUUGUAAACCUCUUUCAGCAGGGAAGAAGCGAAAGUGACGGUACCUGCAGAAGAAGCGCCGGCUAACUACGUGCCAGCAGCCGCGGUAAUACGUAGGGCGCGAGCGUUGUCCGGAAUUAUUGGGCGUAAAGAGCUCGUAGGCGGUCUGUCGCGUCGGAUGUGAAAGCCCGGGGCUUAACCCCGGGUCUGCAUUCGAUACGGGCAGACUAGAGUGUGGUAGGGGAGAUCGGAAUUCCUGGUGUAGCGGUGAAAUGCGCAGAUAUCAGGAGGAACACCGGUGGCGAAGGCGGAUCUCUGGGCCAUUACUGACGCUGAGGAGCGA
rnacentral:rRNA from 1 species